rnacentral:rRNA from 1 species
UACGAAGGGGGGCUAGCGUUGCUCGGAAUCACUGGGCGUAAAGGGCGCGUAGGCGGAUCUUUAAGUCGGGGGUGAAAGCCUGAGGCUCAACCUCAGAAUUGCCUUCGAUACUGGAGAUCUUGAGUCCGGAAGAGGUGAGUGGAACUCCUAGUGUAGAGGUGGAAUGCGCAGAUAUCAGGAGGAACACCGGUGGCGAAGGCGGGUCUCUGGGCAGUAACUGACGCUGAGGAGCGAAAGCGUGGGGAGCGAACAGG